rnacentral:rRNA from 1 species
UACGUAGGGGGCUAGCGUUGUCCGGAAUCAUUGGGCGUAAAGCGCGCGUAGGCGGCCAGAUAAGUCCGGUGUGAAAGUCACAGGCUCAACCUGUGAAUGCCGCUGGAAACUGUCUGGCUAGAGUCCGGAAGGGGCGAGUGGAAUUCCUGGUGUAGCGGUGAAAUGCGCAGAUAUCAGGAGGAACACCGAUGGCGAAGGCAGCUCGCUGGGACGGUACUGACGCUGAGGCGCGAAAGCGUGGGGAGCGAACAGG